rnacentral:rRNA from 1 species
UAGGGAAUCUUCGGCAAUGGACGGAAGUCUGACCGAGCAACGCCGCGUGAGUGAAGAAGGUUUUCGGAUCGUAAAGCUCUGUUGUAAGAGAAGAACGAGUGUGAGAGUGGAAAGUUCACACUGUGACGGUAUCUUACCAGAAAGGGACGGCUAACUACGUGCCAGCAGCCGCGGUAAUACGUAGGUCCCGAGCGUUGUCCGGAUUUAUUGGGCGUAAAGCGAGCGCAGGCGGUUAGAUAAGUCUGAAGUUAAAGGCAGUGGCUCAACCAUUGUAGGCUUUGGAAACUGUUUAACUUGAGUGCAGAAGGGGAGAGUGGAAUUCCAUGUGUAGCGGUGAAAUGCGUAGAUAUAUGGAGGAACACCGGUGGCGAAAGCGGCUCUCUGGUCUGUAACUGACGCUGAGGCUCGAAAGCGUGGGGAGCGAACAGGAUUAGAUACCCUGGUAGUCCACGCCGUAAACGAUGAGUGCUAGGUGUUAGGUCCUUUCCGGGACUUAGUGCCGCAGCUAACGCAUUAAGCACUCCGCCUGGGGAGUACGACCGCAAGGUUG